ACGUUGGAAAAGAGACUAAGCAAAUAGGAGACAACAGGCUAGAACAUCCGAGCGAACAGAUGUACCAACAGCGCUCAGCGCGCUCAGUAUGAAUGAAAUAGUAGAAGGAGCGUACGAUAGAGAGAUUGGGAGAGCGUUGCAUUGAGAGAAAUGCAAAGAACUCUGAUUCCAUUCGACUCAACUCAACUCUCUCGGCUUUUGAGUAAUAGACUAAUUACUACUCAAUUUCUUUCGGCAAAUCUAAAGACUUUGAAAUACAAAUGGAUAUUUGUUAAUAGACAAGCUGACUUUGACUUACGUGUAUUUGUCUAGUAAGUGUUGAGAUUAAAUCCAACUCUCAUGAUCAUGCAUAUUCGUGUUGGACAUUCCUGCGGUUAAGCAAUAAGUACUUGUUGCUAAGCAUCUUGAGCGUAAGCC